CUUGCCCCUAGAGGCAUUACAGGUGUGGCUGCAGUGUCAUAGGGGCCUCAGUAGAUGGCAGAGAAGAAAGAAGCUAUGUUUACAGUCAGUGUUCUGUCCACUGAACAUCUGGUAAAUAGUAGCAACACACU